rnacentral:rRNA from 1 species
UACGGUGGGGGCUAGCGUUGUUCGGAAUUACUGGGCGUAAAGCGCACGUAGGCGGCUUUGUAAGUUAGAGGUGAAAGCCCGGAGCUUAACUCCGGAACUGCCUUUAAGACUGCAUCGCUCGAAUCAUGGAGAGGUCAGUGGAAUUCCGAGUGUAGAGGUGAAAUUCGUAGAUAUUCGGAAGAACACCAGUGGCGAAGGCGACUGACUGGACAUGUAUUGACGCUGAGGUGCGAAAGCGUGGGGAGCAAACAGG